rnacentral:rRNA from 1 species
UACGGAGGGUGCAAGCGUUAUCCGGAUUCACUGGGUUUAAAGGGAGCGUAGGUGGGUUGGUAAGUCAGUGGUGAAAUCCCCGAGCUUAACUUGGGAACUGCCAUUGAUACUAUUAGUCUUGAAUACUGUGGAGGUUAGCGGAAUAUGUCAUGUAGCGGUGAAAUGCUUAGAUAUGACAUAGAACACCAAUUGCGAAGGCAGCUGGCUACACAAAUAUUGACACUGAGGCUCGAAAGCGUGGGGAUCAAACAGG